CCUGGCGGCCGUAGCGCGGUGGUCCCACCUGACCCCAUGCCGAACUCAGAAGUGAAACGCCGUAGCGCCGAUGGUAGUGUGGGGUCUCCCCAUGUGAGAGUAGGGAACCGCCGGGU
rnacentral:rRNA from 2 species